rnacentral:ncRNA from 1 species
AGAGUAAGGAUACGGGCGUACAGUGCCGACGGGACGGGGAGUUGUCCGCCGGACGAAAGCCGCAAGGGGGGAUCCCGCGGCUGCGGUCCGCAUCCUGCAUCCCGCU